UUUUAUUUUUAGUCAUCUCUAUACCCAGCAUGGGGCUCAAACUUAGCAACCCCAAGAUCAACAGUUGCACACUCCACUGACUAAGCCAGCCAGGAGCCCCUGAAAUUCUAUCGCAUGGGAAAUUUACCUAUUCUUCCUCAUUUAUUUAUUUAUUCAAUCAUUUAUUAUAUUGAUUUGACUCAUGGAUAUUUAUUUUAUUUUAUUCUUCAGGUUGUAACUCAGUACUACUUUAUACUGUUGCUUAAAUUGUUCCAGCUCUGGCCACUGGGAACUCUUUCAGUUGGUUUUGGAAUCCCUUUGACAUAUCUCCAUUCUUGUGGGUUUUUUUUUAAGGCAUUUUCUUUCUGAUACUAAUAUCCUCUGGGAUUAUCUUGUAUAUUUUCUUUUUCUUAAAGAAGUUUGCAAUCUUUUUAAAAGCAGAUUUUAUUUAUGUAUGUAUGUAUUUAUUUAUUUAUUGAGAGAGACAGAGAAAGAGAGAGAGAGAGUGGGAGAAAACAUGCAUGAGUGGGGGAAGGGGCAGAGGGAAAGGGAACAAAAAUCAUAGGCAGACUCUAAGCUAAUCAUGGAACCUGACUGGGGCUCAAUCCCAUGGCCCUGAGACCAUGAAAUCAAGAGUUGAAAUCAGAGUUGGCCACUUAACUGACCAAGCCACCCAGUCGCCACCAUCUUGUAUAUUUUCUGAUCCAUUCCUAGUAUCAGCCAUUUCUCCGAGGAGUCCUUGUCCUUUUUUUGAAAAACAGUAUUAGAAACUAAGAUGUGGGCACUAAGUGUACUUGUUACUACUAGAGAGUUGUUGCUUCUUGACCUUCUUAGCUGGUAGAACAAGGAAAUAUAUGUGUGCAUAUGAAUCUGGGUAUAUAGGCAUGAACUAGAAAUAUAUCUAUGUGUAACCAUCUGUAUCUAUAUUAAGGCUGAAGUUGAGUUUGUAUUGUUAUCUCCAACUCUAUUCCAUUACUACAUAGCUCAUUCUAGCCUCCAUCUCUGGCUUAUUUGCAAGCUCCCACUUCAACUGUGAGGAACAUGGGCCCCACUCACUUACUGAAUUGUUAGCCUGUAUACCUGUGGGAAACAACUUUAUCAACUAGAGUACAGUUAAUACUUCCUCUUGGCUUUAAUCCUGCAUACUCUACUCAUUCUCAGUUACUUGGGUCAGGACAUUUCCCCCAGCCCUUUCAGUGAGGUGGUUUCAUAACCAUUAUUUUGCAGUUAGUUUCUUUUAGUCACAUUCUGUGUUCCAUCAAGGUUCUCCUGAACUCUUAUGUUCUUAAUUUAAAUACAUUAAGGUUCACUUUUUGUGCUGUAAAAGAGUUGUGGUUUUAGGUUUAGGGUUCACUCUUUGUGUAUGGGUUUUAAUAAAUUCAUAGAGUCAUGUCUUCACCAUUAGAAUAUCAUAUGUAAUAUUUCACCAUUCUGAAAAAAAAUCCUGUGUGUUUCACCUACUAAAGCCCCUCCCAUGAGCCCCUAACAAUUACUGACCUAUUUUUUGUCUCUAUAGUUGUGCCUUUUCCAGAAUGGCAUGUAAAUAGAAUCAAAUAGUAUAGAAUCUUUUCACCUGGCUUCUUUCACUUAGCAAUAGGCAUUUAAGAUUUAAGCAUAUUGCUUGAUGACUUGAUAGAAUUUGUUAUCACUACAUGGUUAUCCACUUGUUCAUUUACUUUAUGGGCUUAUUCGUGAUAUUAUACCUUUUGUAAGGACACAGACUCAUCUUUCUGGUUCUUCAUUUUAUCCCCAGUGCCUAGCAUAGUGCCUAGUAGAUCAAAAAAGAUCAAUAGCUAUUUGCUGAAUGAAUUAGCCCAAUUAAAUCCCUUUAGGUAUUGUUGUGUAAGAGCUCUUUGCUCUGUUCCACUGCAUGAAUACUAAUAUUAUAAUUGUUAAUGUCUGGGUUAUAACAAGAGAACUUGCUAUCCAAUUUUAUUUGCUUAUUACUGAAAAUUUCUUAGAAUUUCUAUAAAUUUCAUUUUAACAUAGGAUUUCAGCUAUAACCUUAUUUGUGACAAAUGCAAAACUGCAAUAGCUAAUUGGUUUAUUUUCUUUUAGUAUAAUGAAUAUAGUUUGAAUAUAUAAAAAUAGCAUUUAAAAAAGUCUAAGCAGGACAACCCCAGUGGCUCAGUGGUUUUGCACUGCCUUUAGCCUGGGGCAUGAUCCUGGAGACGGGGGGAUAGAGUCCCACAUCAGUCUCCCUGCAUGGAUCCUGCUUCUUCCUCUGCCUGUGUCUCUGCCUCUCUCUCUCUCUCUCUCUGUCUCUCAUGAAUAAAUAAAAAUUAAAAAUAAAAUUUAAAAGUCUAAGCAAUAACGUUUGGCAUUCAUUUUUACAAACUGAUUGAAGUCUCUAUCUGUAUUUACUUAUAUUUUAAGACAAAAGAGAACAUUGUUUUUUUUUAAAUUAUAUAAGCCCUUUGUAGAAAUAGAAAGCACAUACAGAAUAAUACAUUAAUCAAAGGAGUACAGCUCAAUGGAUUUUCCACAGUGAACAUAUUCAGGUAACCAUCACCCAGAUCAAGAAAUAGGAUGUUGCCAGAACCCCUAAAGUUCCUGUCAUGUCCCCUUUUAGUCACUACUUCCUAUUGAAGUUACUCACCCUUCUGACUAAGUUUGCCUGUUUUUCUGCUUUAUAUAACUGGAAUCAUGAAUUACAUAUGAUUUUUGUGUUUGGCUCUUUUGUUUAACAUUGUGCUUAUGAAAUUUAUCCAUAUAGUUGUUUGUAGAUUGAGAUUUUUUUUCAUUGCCAGAUAAUCUUCCUUGUAUGAGUACACCACUACUUAUUCAUUCAAUCAUUAGUAGGAAUUUAGGUAUUUUUUGGUUUGGGGUUAUUAUGAAUAGUGCUGCUGUAAAUGUUUCAGUAUAUGGUUCUGAUAAACAUAACAUAAAAUGUAUUGAAUAUAUACCUAGGAGUAGAAUGGUUGGGUCAUAGAGUAUGUGUAAUGUUGUAAUAUAAUCUAUCCUUAAAAUGAGGUCAGUAUUUUACUGAUUAUUCUAGGAAGCUAGAGUUGAGUGUUUCUAAAUUCAAAGUAUUUAAUAAAAACAUAUUAUAUUGUAUUUUGUUUAAGAAUAUGAAUAUACCUGUAGUGGGUAAAACCACUCCCUACCCCCACCUCCUUCCCAAAGAUUCUACAUUCUAAUCCCUAGGAUCUGUUUAAUAUUGUUACCUUACAAAGCAGAAGGGAUUAAAGGUAUAAUUAAAUUAAAUUAAAGAUCUUGAGAAGGGUAGAUUAGCCUGGAUUAUCCGGGUGGGGCUAAUAUAACCACAAGGGUCCUUGCAAGAGGAAGUAGGAAGUUCUGAGUCAGGAAGGAGAGAUGUUGACAGGAAAGAAGAGGUCACAGAGACAAAGAGAUGUAAAGAUGCUGCACUGCUGGCUUUGGGGGCAGAGGAAAAGGACCAUGAGGCAAGGAAUGAAGGGGACUUCUAGAAGCUGGAAAAUAAAGGGGACAUAUUCUCCACAGAGGAGUCAUGGGCAAGGAAAUGGAUUCUCCCUUUGAGACUCCAGAAAGAACACAAAUUUGUCAACAAUGAUUUUAGCCCUGUAUGACCCAUUUCAGACUUCUGACUUGUAGAAUUGUAAGAUAAUAAAUUUGUGUUACUUUAAGCUACUGUGUUUCCGAUUUGUUACAGCAGCAGUAGGAAACUAAUAUAAUACUGAAUAUGGUCCUUUAUUUAUUUUUUUAAAAAACAUUUUAUAGUGAAAGGGAAUAAAGGGGAAAGGAGAAAAAAUGAGUGGGAAAUAUCAGGGAGGGAGACAGAACAUGAGAGACUCCUAACUCUGGGAAAUGAACUAGGGGUGGUGGAAGGGGAGGUGGACGGGGGGUGGGGGUGAUUGGGUGACAGGCACUGAAGGGGGUACUUGAUGGGAUGAGCAUUGGGUGUUAUUCUAUAUGCUGGCAAAUUGAACACCAAUAAAAAUACAUUUAUUAAAAAUAAAUAAAUAAAUAAAUAAAUAAAUAAAUAAAAAACAUUUUAAACUUUUUUUGCAUUCUCUUAAGAAAUAUGAAAUUUGUAUUAUAUUUCUAACACCAAGAAAAAUGAUUUAAAAUUCUUUUUUUUACCACCAGUGUAUUUUAUUAUUUUUUAUUUUUUGUUAAGUUUUUACUUUUAAUUUCAGUAUAUAGUGUUAUAUUAGUUUCAAGUGUUCAAUUCUAUACACUACUCAGUACUCAUUGUGAUAAUUUUUAAAUUUUUAUUUUUUUAAAUUUUUUUUAAUUUUUAAAAAUUUUUUAAAAUUUUAGAUUUAUUUUUUUAUUUAGGGAGUGGAGGAUGGGUAGAGAGGGAGAGAGAAUCUUUAAGCAGGUUCUGACCUGAGUGUGGAGCCUGAUGACAAAAGGCUCAGUUCCAUGAUCCUGAGAUCAUAACUUGAGCCAAAACCAAGAAAGUAAGACACUCAACUGACUGUGGCACUGAGGCGCCCCUUGGUAAGUAUACUCUUAACCCCAUCACCCGUGCCCCACCC
rnacentral:lncRNA from 1 species